rnacentral:rRNA from 1 species
GUACACUCCUACGGGAGGCAGCAGUGGGGAAUAUUGGACAAUGGGCGCAAGCCUGAUCCAGCCAUGCCGCGUGAGUGAUGAAGGCCCUAGGGUUGUAAAGCUCUUUCACCGGUGAAGAUAAUGACGGUAACCGGAGCAGAAGCCCCGGCUAACUUCGUGCCAGCAGCCGCGGUAAUACGAAGGGGGCUAGCGUUGUUCGGAUUUACUGGGCGUAAAGCGCACGUAGGCGGACUAUUAAGUCAGGGGUGAAAUCCCGGGGCUCAACCCCGGAACUGCCUUUGAUACUGGUAGUCUGGAGUUCGAGAGAGGUGAGUAGAAUUCCGGGUGUAGAGGUGAAAUUCGUAGAUAUUCGGAGGAACACCAGUGGCGAAGGCGGCUCACUGGCUCGAUACUGACGCUGAGGUGCGAAAGCGUGGGGAGCAAACAGGAUUAGAUACCCGAGUAGUCCCA